UCGAGGGGUAGAACACUUCGGUGUUUGAGACCGGCGCACGGGUGCGUAACGUCUGUAUGCAAUCUACCUUAUACAGGGGAAUAGCCCAGAGAAAUUUGGAUUAAUGCCCCAUAGCAUUACGACUUGGCAUCAAGAUGUAAUUAAAGUUCCAACGGUAUAAGAUGAGCAUGCGUCCCAUUAGUUAGUUGGUAAGGUAACGGCUUACCAAGACGAUGAUGGGUAGGGGUCCUGAGAGGGAGAUCCCCCACACUGGUACUGAGACACGGACCAGACUCCUACGGGAGGCAGCAGUGAGGAAUAUUGGUCAAUGGUCGCAAGACUGAACCAGCCAUGCCGCGUGCAGGAAGACGGUCCUAUGGAUUGUAAACUGCUUUUAUACAGGAAGAAACCCUCCCACGUGUGGGAGCUUGACGGUACUGUAGGAAUAAGGAUCGGCUAACUCCGUGCCAGCAGCCGCGGUAAUACGGAGGAUCCAAGCGUUAUCCGGAAUCAUUGGGUUUAAAGGGUCCGUAGGCGGUCUUAUAAGUCAGUGGUGAAAGCCCAUCGCUCAACGAUGGAACUGCCAUUGAUACUGUAAGACUUGAAUGCUUAGGAAGUAACUAGAAUAUGUAGUGUAGCGGUGAAAUGCUUAGAUAUUACAUGGAAUACCAAUUGCGAAGGCAGGUUACUACUAAGUGAUUGACGCUGAUGGACGAAAGCGUGGGAGCGAACAGGAUUAGAUACCCUGGUAGUCCACGCCGUAAACGAUGGAUACUAGCUGUUCGGAGCAAUCUGAGUGGCC
rnacentral:rRNA from 1 species